UCGGGCCAAGGAUCAACCAAGAAAGUGAGUCAGUGAGUCAGUAAUCUGUAUUUCUACAUGGCUCCUGCCGAAUCAGUCUGGAAAUGAAUGCCAAAUAAACCUUUUCCUCCCUCAAGUUGCUGUUUAUGCAACAGUGUUUCAUUGCAGCAACAGAAUGAAAGUAAAAUUCUGCUCUUCCAGACCACUGGACUUCAGUUCUCAACCCACUUCUGGUGGCUCUCACGUUCAACGCUGGUGCAUCCAACUUCCCCUUCUGGCUUCUGUAGGCAUCUGCAGCAUGUUACAUGCAAAGAACAUCGUUCUCAUUGAACAACAAAGUACAUUUCAGGGCUGAAUUCCAAAUGCGCAAACAGUCACACACCCGCCUCUCUGCUCGAGGUAGUGGUGAGUACCCAUGGGAUUAUGCAAGAUAUCGGUGUGGCCAGCCUGUAACGGCAGCAGGUUUGACGCAGGUGAAAGGACAGACAGACUGACCACAGGAAUCAAACCUUUGUUGGUGUACCAGUUUCACAAUGUUCAGGGCGUUUCCUUUGCUCCUCUGCCCUGUCUGGUUUUUCUCGGAUGCUGCACUCAGGGACCGGUAUGCAGUUCUGCCUUCUCCUCAGCUGCACAAGCAGCCUGUUGUGAAAGGCCUCCAGCAUCUCAUGCAGCCGGAGCGUUGGCUAUCUGGAAGCGAAUGUCUCUGAAUGCCAAGGAGCGCUGACUACGGACGGCCAGAUCCCCCAUGUCAUUGCAAAGGCCUUUGGCAACGGGAGUCACACCUCCCUGGGCUUUCUAAUCCUGUUCCACACAGUGGCGAAGUCGCAGAGGCUUCGGUUGAACUGACUCAUCGUCUGCAGACACUUUGGGAAAGUGGGUGUGUCUCCUCCGAGUGUGACAGCAACGUGGUCCUGAGUCCUGCCUGAGGCACAGAGCCAUUCGACAAGUCCUGUAGAGAGCUCUGUAGAUCCCUGACACUGAGUCCACCAAAGCGGAAACAGGCAGGAUCCAUCCAGUCAAAGAUUCCGG
ensembl:lncRNA